rnacentral:lncRNA from 10 species
AAUAAUUCAGCCACUCACGUAUUCCAGGGAGUGAGCAGCUGACAGGGGAGCCACGAACAGCCUGGAGAGCUGAGCAUGGGCCUGCUCCACACUCCAGCGGGGCCCGAGGCCCCCGGGAACUCUACCCCUCCUGGCAGCCUCACAGAACCUGCUGCAUCCAUCUCAAAAGGCAUACCUCCUCCAGGAAGCCUUCCCCGCUGCUCAGAGGUCUUAAAUCCGGGGUCUGCACUCACAAACUGUGCAGCCUACACCAGCUUCUGGGGGACAGCAGAACACUGUGGGGGGCCUGGCACAGUCCCUGGCACACGGUAGGCACUCAUCGAGCCCCUGCCAGCCCCUCUACUCCUGACUUCUGAGGCAACAGGAAAUGACCCGCCACCUUGUUCUCACAGAGCCUCCCUGCCAGCCCAGAUGGUCACAAGGGCCUCCUGGGAUGCUGCCCACCUUGGCAGCCAGGCCCCUCCGGAGGGGCCAGUCUGGGCCUGACACCCCCGAACACCAACCCCCUGGGCAGAGCCUGCCUGUGCCUGGGUGAGGAACCCUGCAGUCUCCUUGCCACACAAGGCCUGGGUCUGCCUUGGGGCCCAGGCUGCACCCUCUCCGACCCCCAGGCCCAAUGUCUGACCUGUGCCCACCUGACUCAACCUGGCUACUGUUCAGCAAGUUUACAAAGUGUUCUCAGUCUGAACAGGAACCGUUUUCAAUCCUUUAUUUCAGAAAGGAGAGCCAGGAGAACUGGGGACUUAGAAAAUACAGAUCCUAAACUCAAAAGUCCCUGC